CUUUUUUUUUUUUUUUUUUUUUGUUGCAUGCAAUAGAUUCUAUACUACGCCUACUCUUACUCUAUACUAAGGGGAGGGAGGACACAAGGGAUAAGGGGUAACACUGAGCAUACUUUGGCUGACUGGGGUAACGAGUCCUAUUUACCUGUUUAUUUUUACUGCUAGUUUUAAUGUAGCAGCCCUCCAUGGUGGGCUACUUUUGAUCCAUCUGAUACUUCAUUGUCCUCUAGAACUUUUUUUUUUUUUGGUCGACACAGGGGUGUCUGGGUCAAUGUUUACGGGGCCUGACUAAUCCCCUGCGGCCCGGGAGAGGAGGCCCCACUCCACACCGAACACGUUAACAGCGAGACUCGAACCCUGGACAAGUCAGGAAGGUCGCCAUACCUUAAGGAGGGGGAGCGGACCGCUCGAGCUACCCCGCGGGAACAAAGACCAGUCACGUAGAGUGACAAGUUGUGGGAGGUAAGGGUUGAAUCCCUAACCUCCAGCAUCCCCAAAGAAGGGGAUGACCACCGGACCAAAUGGCUAGUGGCUCCUCUCGAACUUACCUUCCCUUACAUUUCACUGGAUGCACGUUUAUUUCAUUAUGUUUCUAAAAUUUUGUCAUCUGAUAAGAGUUAGCAAUUGGGUAAAGUUAAAAAAAUAUGUAAAGACAAAGGACACUUGUCUUGGAAAUAGAAGUAGAACUAGCCCAAGAAUAUCCGUGUUUUUUGGAUUGUUUUUCAAAAACUUUAUUACAGUUGUGUAUGUGAAAAAUUUUCUAUACAUAAAUCGCCUGGAUUCCGUGUUCUUAAGGGUAUACUAAAGAGUCGAUAAACUCUAUCCCGUGGCAAAGUGACUUAGAAGCUCUAUCGACUAUCAAGAGCAAGAGUUAGAUCCAAAUAAGCCAUUAUUCAUUAAUAAAACCGCGUUUCACUCGUCCUUGUGAUGACUGAUGUACCUCAAAUAAUUAGAAGCUUUUGUCGGCUGAUGGACCUAGCUGGAGAAUCUGCAAUUUGCAAACCACCAAUCUCUAAUCUCUUCCAGGAUGUUCCACAUAUUGACAUCACGAUAUCACGAGGUUUGUCUCGUUGCAUACAAAACAAUCCUACCAAAGUUUGUAUUAAAUUUUAAAUAAAUCCACCGUAAGAAAGAGUGGGUGACAUCUUUAGGUUUUUCCAUAAUAUGCCUAGAGGCCUAGUAUCUAGAAAGUGGACAGCUAGGUCGAGCCUCUUUUGGUCAAAAUCCCCUCAGGGCAAAUAAGAGGUCUCUUUGAUUCCUUGCUGCACCCCUCUGUGAAGAGAUGUUUGCAUUUGUUUGGUUGAUGGUUUUGGCAUAUGCCCAGCUGGUGGGCACUGAAAACCUAAACACCACUGGCUAUCCUUCACGAGUUCGCAGCAUCUUCUUAUUGGCCGGACAAAGCAACAUGUCCGGCAGAGGCGGCGUAAUGAACGGCACCUGGGACGGCGUCGUGCCUCUUGAGUGCCAACCCAAACCGUCCAAGAUUCUCAGGCUUAGUGCUGGACUAAGCUGGAUGGAGGCUCAGGAGCCCCUGCACAGGGACAUAGAUGUGAAUGCAACAUGUGGGAUUGGACCAGGAAUGGUGUUCGCCAAUUCGUUGCUGAAUCUGAAUCCCAGAAUUGGGGUGAUUGGUUUGGUCCCUUGCGCCGUCGGAAGUAGGAUGGGUACCAAGAUUAGCGAGUGGGGCCGUGGCACCUACCUCUACAACCAGCUACUGAGGAGGGCCGCAGCCGCAGCCGCCCUGCAAGCUGGUGGUAGAUUUAGAAUCCGAGCACUUCUGUGGUAUCAAGGUGAAAGUGAUACUAACAAUCCACAGGAUGCAUCAUUGUACAAGAUGAGAUUGGAAAGAUUUUUCACAAAUCUGCGUGCUGAUCUCAAAUUACCAGAACUCCCGAUCAUUCAGGUCGCACUGGCAUCAGGACAAGGGCCUUACAUUGAUGCAGUAAGACAAGCUCAGUUUGGAGUUCACCUUCGAAAUGUGAAAAUUAUUGAUGCCAAAGGGUUGCCAAUGGAGCCGGAUAACUUGCACCUUAGUAGUCCGGCGCAGGUCCAGCUUGGUGACAUAUUCGCCCAUGCUUUUGCUGCUACUGGAUGAAUCAAAUAUGUUAAUUUUAGCUCGAAAACGAGGAGGUGCCAGGCAUCGUCUAUCAUGCUUUAGUCAGCUUUAUAAAACUGAGAAUGUUAUCCACAUCCUUUUUCCUUUUGUUGCAUUAAAGAUGUGCUUGGAAUUUUACUCCCGAUUUUCAUUCGAGCAUACCAGUUGAGUCCGCUAAGUGUUACUCUUCUCUUUUCUUUUUCGAGUUUGUUCUUAAGUUUGCAUGAAUCUAGCAGAACAGAGUCAAAACUCUAAUAGUUGGAUACAGAAGAUACAACUCUGCAAUUCAACCAUCCCUCAUGCAAUGUGUGCAUUUAAACUGAGCGAGAAAGCACGAAGCAGAUGUUGUGGGUUUAUAUUUGCCAUAUGGGUUUAUAUUUGUCCUGGAACACCGAAACACGAACCGACGAAGUGAAAGAAAAUCUAUAUAGCAUUAUUCUCCAUUCCAUUUUUCUCCUUUUCCCUUUCUUGUUUAUCAAUCUGUGACCGGAAUUCUUUUGUUCUUUUUUCCUUUUUUUCGCUAUGAGGGGAGUGAUAGGGGUGGGGUUGGGGAACCCAAGCCUGUUGUUACCUUCAACAUAACAGCUCAAUAAUCACAACAAAGCAUCGACAAAAAUAAGUAUAUGAAAAACACUGAACGAGCACAAUGCAGUAUUAGACAAGUUAUUAGUCACACAAUUCACGCAGCGGCCAGAGUUUUCAUAUGUUCUUUAGCAUAUGACGAGUUGACGACCCACACAAGCUACUAACAUCAAUAUCUUUUUCUCGAGGAGAAUGCUUUGCAUAAGAUCCAUUCCAUGUUUCUGAUUGCAGUAGAAUACAC
rnacentral:lncRNA from 1 species